CUUGGUCAUUUAGAGGAAGUAAAAGUCGUAACAAGGUUUCCGUAGGUGAACCUGCGGAAGGAUCAUUGGUGAACGCCCUCACGGGCUUAUAACUAUUCCAAACCCCUGUGAACCGUGCCCUUCGGGGCUAUUUUACAAACAUGGUGUAAUGAACGUCACAUAUCAUAACAAAACAAAACUUUCAACAACGGAUCUCUUGGCUCUCGCAUCGAUGAAGAACGCAGCGAAAUGCGAUAAGUAAUGUGAAUUGCAGAAUUCAGUGAAUCAUCGAAUCUUUGAACGCACCUUGCGCCCUCUGGUAUUCCGGAGGGCAUGCCUGUUUGAGUGUCAUGUAGACUCAAUCCCUCGGGUUUCCGAGGAGAUUGGACUUGGGUGUUGCCGCUCUGCCGGCUCGCCUUAAAAGACUUAGCGGGAUAGCACCGUAGUCGGCGUAAUAAGUUUUGUCGGUGAAGGUUGUGAUGACUGCUUACAAUCGCCCUCGGGCAAUUUUUGACUCUGACCUCAAAUCAGGUAGGACUACCCGCUGAACUUAAGCAUAUCAAUAAGCGGAGGA
rnacentral:rRNA from 1 species